UGGUUGAAGAGUUUUGCUGAUCUGGGGCUGAGAUGGUCUCUCAUUUUCUCUUACACUCCCCUUUUGACUGGUGAGCCUGGGCGUCUUCUCAUUCGGCUGUUGACUUUGUACGCUUCCCCACAUCAGUUUUCCUGUGGGUGACGGCGCGUGCCUCCCGCCAUCCCGCACGAACUGCACCCGAGUGGUCCAGAUGCUAGCACCUGAUCCCUCCCACCAUGCAGGUUCCCGUCAACCUUUUAGUUAAAAGUUCCCACCCCUUGGC